GGCUCAGGAUGAACGCUAGCUACAGGCUUAACACAUGCAAGUCGAGGGAAACGAUAUUGGAAGCUUGCUUCCGAUAGGCGUCGACCGGCGCACGGGUGAGUAACGCGUAUCCAACCUGCCCAUCACUUGGGGAUAACCUUGCGAAAGUAAGACUAAUACCCAAUGACGUCUCUAGAAGACAUCUGAAGGAGAUUAAAGAUUUAUCGGUGAUGGAUGGGGAUGCGUCUGAUUAGCUUGUUGGCGGGGUAACGGCCCACCAAGGCGACGAUCAGUAGGGGUUCUGAGAGGAAGGUCCCCCACAUUGGAACUGAGACACGGUCCAAACUCCUACGGGAGGCAGCAGUGAGGAAUAUUGGUCAAUGGGCGAGAGCCUGAACCAGCCAAGUAGCGUGCAGGAUGACGGCCCUAUGGGUUGUAAACUGCUUUUAUAAGGGAAUAAAGUGGGAGUCGUGACUCUUUUUGCAUGUACCUUAUGAAUAAGGACCGGCUAAUUCCGUG
rnacentral:rRNA from 1 species